rnacentral:rRNA from 1 species
AUUGAACGCUGGCGGCAGGCCUAACACAUGCAAGUCGAGCGGCAGCGGAAAGUAGCUUGCUACUUUGCCGGCGAGCGGCGGACGGGUGAGUAAUGUCUGGGAAACUGCCUGAUGGAGGGGGAUAACUACUGGAAACGGUAGCUAAUACCGCAUAACGUCGCAAGACCAAAGAGGGGGACCUUCGGGCCUCUUGCCAUCAGAUGUGCCCAGAUGGGAUUAGCUAGUAGGUGGGGUAACGGCUCACCUAGGCGACGAUCCCUAGCUGGUCUGGGGGGAUGACCAGCCACACUGGAACUGAGACACGGUCCAGACUCCUACGGGAGGCAGCAGUGGGGAAUAUUGCACAAUGGGCGCAAGCCUGAUGCAGCCAUGCCGCGUGUUUGAAGAAGGCCUUCGGGUUGUAAAGUACUUUCAGCGGGGAGGAAGGUGUUGUGGUUAAUAACCACAGCAAUUGACGUUACCCGCAGAAGAAGCACCGGCUAACUCCGUGCCAGCAGCCGCGGUAA